AGAGGAAGAAGAAAAAGUGAAAAUUUGUCCACGGACCCUUACUUAUAUGGUUCCAUAUUAGCUGUACCACUAUUGUUUUGUUCUCUUGCUGCUGAAUUUGCUUUUCCUCUGAACU
rnacentral:ribozyme from 11 species